GCUCUACUACUGAGCCCCAACUUGAGUGGGAUCUUGCAGGGAGGUUUGGAUCCCCUGCACUCGGGUCUGGUGCAGGCUACUGAAGGCUGUUGAGCCUCUCCCCGCCCCACCCGCAUAGGCAGCCUCGCCUCACCUGGUUCUCCCAGCCUCAGCAGCCGCAGCCGCAGCUGAAGCUGGAGGGAGAGGUUUAAUUGGCAGGCUUUUGGGUUAAGGAGAAAUACUGCUUUGCUGGGGUGGGGACUAGUGGAUGGAGGGGGAAGGGGGUUGGAAAAAUACUGAGAGAACCGGCAAAUACAGCCAGGCAACAACAGGAUAUGGAGGCCGCAGAGACACAGGAGGAAGGGAGAGGGGCCUUGCCAGGCUGGCUUGUGCCACUGCCUAGCAGAGGCCCUCAUCCCCCCCUCCAUGCUGGGGACCACCCAGCCUCCCUGCAUCUGCACAGGGCUUAUCUGGGACAUUUAUUCAUUUAAUUUUAUUACUGUACUGUGGGUACAGUGCCUGCCAACUCUAACGCCUUGUCAGUGUUACCCCGAAAGUCCCCUCUCUAGGCUGGGAGUUACAGCAUAAUGAAACCCAGAGAACUCUGCCCUGUCCCUCACUUAGUAAUGACUGAUCUGAAGGCCUCUGAACAAGGGUCUCCUGGGACCACCAUGCCUCAGCUGGGCCAAGCACAGACAACCCUGGUGAGGACCAGAUGCCCCCAUGCUAGAUCCUAGCUCCUGGAAACUGGCGCCUUUGGCCCAAGAGAAGAUUCCUGACUCUGGGAGAGGUGACACAACCUCAGAGGGAGCUGGGGGAAAUCCUUGCCACCCCUUUGUCUUUGAAUGUUCUGGAUAGAGGACGACAAUGCUGAGCUCAUGGCCUGAGAGUUGGAGGGAACCCUUGGGAGUCGUCCGGUUCUCCGCCAUCUUGUAACAAAUGGGGAAACUGAGGCCCACGGAGGGGAAGGGUCUUGCCUACGGGCAAACAAUUGGAGCACCUGAAAUAAUUUGGGCCCUCACUGAAUGAUGGCAGGGAGGCAGGAAUGGCGUCUCUUCAUCUUAUUGCAGUUUGGGGGAUCUGGGGGUGGGCAUGUGUGUGCUUAUCUCCCGUCUGUGCCAGUGUCUCUCCAGCUCACUCCUUCCCACCCCCCCAGCCCCAGCCCAAGUGGCUAGCUUGUGUGAUGACCCUUCUGAAAUGUCCUUUCUGGCCCUCACCUUUACCUGCAUGCACUCACAUUUCAUGGUGGCUCACCUUUAGACCCCAUGAAGGCAUUUUUUGGGGGCACCUGAGUGACCUUGGUCCAGGCCCCAUCCUCCCUGGGCCUCAGCAUCUCCAGCUGUAAGGUGGAGGUGGGGUGGGCAUUUGCAGGUUUCUAAGCAUCCUUUCCAGCUCUGACAUCUAGGGACUGCCCACAGCUGAUUCGUGGGUCCUCUAGGCCAGGGCCCAUCUGCUGCUUCCUCUGCUUGGGGCAGCAGUGGGAGCAGUACUGGGCCCCAGUGAGCAGCCGAAAGACAGGAAGAUUUGUCACCGAUUCUCCUCAUGUGUCCUAAGCAUCCUAGUCUCCAGCUGCCUUCCUGGGGAGGGACAGGAAGAGUUGGGCUAUAUUUGUCUUCUUGGGAUGGGGUGGGGAGGGGGGACUUGGGCAAGGGGAGAGCGAUCCUGCAGGCCCAGCAGCUGAGCAGGGAAGAGAAGUUCUUUCUUUAACUCAGGCAAAAAAUGAAAAGCUCAGUCCUUGAAGCUCCCCUUCCCUUCCCUCCUUGGCCCCAUUAGCCUCUGCUGGGAGUACCCAGCACACAGUAGGUGUGGAGUGAUUCACAGACAGAGUGAAUGAAUGGAGAAUGCCUUGAAGUAAAGGGACCUGGGUUUGAGUCCUCCCCCACCAGUUUCUAGCUGGUGACCUUGGGCAGAUUGCUUGAUGUCUUUGAACUUCGGGUUCCCCAUCUGUCCCACCCAAAUGAUAACUUCAAGAGAUGUGAGGAGGAAAUGAGAGGAAUCAAUGCAAAGGCCUUAGAAUCGGGUCUGACAUUUAGGACUCCUCCAACGGUAACUUCUGGUUAUUUUUACUAAAGAUAGAAUGGCUGGGUCAGCCUCUAACGGUGCACUCGGGCAUACAUUUCCUGAGCAUCUAAGGUGUUCCAGGCACUGCAGAUGGCCUAGAGAAGAGGGAGGCUCCGUCUCUGCUCUCUGGCCUCUCAUAAUCUGAUGGAGGAGACUCAUGGCCACAUAGCCCUGAAAUAGCACUGAAUGGCCUCCUGGUAGCCAUUAUGGAGAGUGCAAAGGGGCCACGGGAGCCGAGUCUGGACAGGACCAAUCUGCUCUGCAGCGGCAGGUCAGGGGAGGCUUCCUGAAAGAGGUGGGCUGUAACUGUACUUGGAAGGACGCGGGAGUUUGCCCCUGGGGAAUGCCCCUUCUAGGGAAAGAAAGGUGCAGAGGCUUGAACUGCUUGUCUGGGGGACACUGAGAAUCUAGUCUGUGCUCCUGUGUCACCUUGUCAGGAGGUGCUCUCUCCUAGCCCUGGAUUAACAGCACCCUGUCCACUCUCACUCCCUCUCCCUAACACUGCUUCAGUUUUUCCGCCUGUCAUCUUGGCCUGGUGUUGGCCCUAAGUUCAUGUUUCUCUCUCUACUAGAACAUCAGCCCCACGAGGGCAGUGUAGUGGGGCCAAUCUUGUUCCCCCCGAGCAAAUACUUUGCAAUUCUAGCCCCCAGGACCUCUGAAGAUGACCUUAUUUGGAGAUGGGUUGUUUAAAGAGGUAAUAAGCCAAAAUAAGGCCAUCCGGGUAGCCCUAACUAAAUAGGACUGAUGUCCUUAUAAAAAAGGGGAGACUUGGAGACGGGCAUGAACAUGGGGAAGAGGCCACAUGAAGACCAGAGACCUGCUGCCACAAGCCGAGGAGCUGCCAGAGGCUGGGAGAGAGGCCUGGCACAGAUGCCCCUCUCACAGCCUUCAGAAGGAACCUGGCAACACCUUGAUCUUGAACUUGGGGCCUCUGGAACUGUGAGACAAUAAAUGCCUACCGUUUAUAA